rfam:Schistosoma curassoni strain Dakar, Senegal genome assembly, scaffold: SCTD_contig0001260
AUCCAACUAACAAGUCCCAAAUAGGACAAAAUGCGCGUCUUGGAU